rnacentral:tRNA from 1 species
GAUAGGGCACAGGAGGAUUGCUAACCCUCCACUCCAUAUUUAACACUAUGGCUCUCUCA